rnacentral:rRNA from 1 species
UGACAUUACCGCGGCUCAGGACGAACGCUGGCGGCGUGCUUAACACAUGCAAGUCGAACGAGAGGAGAAGGAAGCUUGCUUCUUUCAAAUCUAAGUGGCAAACGGGUGAGUAACACGUAAANAACCUGCCUUCAGGAUGGGGACAACAGACGGAAACGACUGCUAAUACCGAAUACGUUCCUUAGGUCGCAUGACUUUAGGAAGAAAGGGUGGCCUCUACUUGUAAGCUAUCGCCUGAAGAGGGGUUUGCGUCUGAUUAGGUAGUUGGUGAGGUAACGGCCCACCAAGCCGACGAUCAGUAGCCGGUCUGAGAGGAUGAACGGCCACACUGGAACUGAGACACGGUCCAGACUCCUACGGGAGGCAGCAGUGGGGAAUCUUCCGCAAUGGACGAAAGUCUGACGGAGCAACGCCGCGUGAACGAUGACGGCCUUCGGGUUGUAAAGUUCUGUUAUACGGGACGAAUGGCGUAGCGGUCAAUACCCGUUACGAGUGACGGUACCGUAAGAGAAAGCCACGGCUAACUACGUG